rnacentral:rRNA from 1 species
GAUGAACGCUGGCGGCGUGCCUAAUACAUGCAAGUAGAACGCUGAAGCUUGGUGCUUGCACCGAGCGGAUGAGUUGCGAACGGGUGAGUAACGCGUAGGUAACCUGCCUCUUAGCGGGGGAUAACUAUUGGAAACGAUAGCUAAUACCGCAUAAAAGUCGACAUUGCAUGAUGUUGACUUGAAAGGUGCAAUUGCAUCACUAAGAGAUGGACCUGCGUUGUAUUAGCUAGUUGGUGAGGUAACGGCUCACCAAGGCAACGAUACAUAGCCGACCUGAGAGGGUGAUCGGCCACACUGGGACUGAGACACGGCCCAGACUCCUACGGGAGGCAGCAGUAGGGAAUCUUCGGCAAUGGGGGCAACCCUGACCGAGCAACGCCGCGUGAGUGAAGAAGGUUUUCGGAUCGUAAAGCUCUGUUGUAAGAGAAGAACGAGUGUGAGAGUGGAAAGUUCACACUGUGACGGUAACUUACCAGAAAGGGACGGCUAACUACGUGCCAGCAGCCGCGGUAAUACGUAGGUCCCGAGCGUUAUCCGGAUUUAUUGGGCGUAAAGCGAGCGCAGGCGGUUAGAUAAGUCUGAAGUUAAAGGCUGUGGCUUAACCAUAGUACGCUUUGGAAACUGUUUAACUUGAGUGCAGAAGGGGAGAGUGGAAUUCCAUGUGUAGCGGUGAAAUGCGUAGAUAUAUGGAGGAACACCGGUGGCGAAAGCGGCUCUCUGGUCUGUAACUGACGCUGAGGCUCGAAAGCGUGGGGAGCGAACAGG